AGUCACUGACAUUAGAUACCCGUGUAGUCCAGGGUGUAAACGCUGCAGACUUGGUGUUGGAAGUCCUUUGGGGGCAUUCAGUGCCGGAGAGAAGUUGUUAAGUCUGCUACUUGGGGAGUACGUCCGCAAGGAUGAAACUUAAAGGAGUUGGCGGGGGAGCACCGCAACGGGAGGAGCGUGCGGUUUAAUUGGAUUCAACACCGUAAAACUCACCAGGGAAGACUGUUACAUGAAAGCCGAGAUGAAGACUCUGCUAGAUUUUCAG
rnacentral:rRNA from 1 species